GGCAUAACUGGGCGCGACGGUUCCCCGACGUAGACUCCGAGAGGAUUAAUAGGGAACACGGUGCGGAAGACCCAAAAGGGACCAAGACCGUGGCUGCCCCCGCAACUGUAAGCGGAUUGCCGAUCAUCCUCGUGGCGCCACGCGCCAUGCCACUGUGAGCUCGUUCUCAUGGGAAGGCAGAUGGUCCGGUGCAUAUCCGCGAGCCAGGAGACCUGCCGUCAAAGAGAGAUCAAUU
rnacentral:ncRNA from 18 species